GCCCCCAGCAAAACACAAGUAUUAGGGGUAAUGCCUGCCCAGUGACACUGUUAAACGGCCGCGGUAUCCUAACCGUGCAAAGGUAGCGUAAUCACUUGUCUCUUAAAUAGAGACUAGAAUGAACGGCCAAACGAGGCUCUACCUGUCUCUUACAAAUAAUCAGUGAAAUUGAUCUUCCCGUGCAAAAGCAGGAAUGACAUUAUAAGACGAGAAGACCCUGUGGAACUUCAAAUACAAAUCAACUAUUACCAACAUCCGCCUAAUUAGGCCUAUACCAAAACAUAGCACCUGAUUCUUAUUUUCGGUUGGGGCGACCCCGGAGCAUAAUAAAACCUCCGGAAAAAGAACUUCUCUUUCAAACCUAGACUUACGAUCCAAAGUGCCUUCGGCAAAAUGAUCCAAUAUAUUUGAUCAACGAACCAAGCUACCCCAGGGAUAACAGCGCAAUCCCAUCCAAGAGUCCCUAUCGACGAUGGGGUUUACGACCUCGAUGUUGGAUCAGGACAUCCUGAUGGUGCAACCGCUAUCAAGGGUUCGUUUGUCAACGAUUAACAGUCCUACGUGA
rnacentral:rRNA from 1 species